UGCAGAGUUGGGCACCUGCUCUCUCAUCAGCUCUCCACUAUCUCCAGUGAUAGGGAUACCUCAUGCCCAAAGUGGGGGAUGAACAUUGAAGGUCAUGCAGGGUAGCUGUUUUUCUGUGUACUGUGUAAUACAUUAGGUUUUUAGUGGGUUCCUUUGUGUGCCAGGAACUGCUCCAAUUGCUGGCUAUGGGCAGCCUAGGAGCCAUGGCCACUCUCUUUGGGACUUUUAGGCUCUGGUCACAUCAAUGCCAAGAAGAGAGUUUCCAGAAUGCUUGAUCAAUCAUGGUGGUGAGUUUUUUGUGGAGCAAUUUCCUUCAAAUUAAAACAUCACAUUCUGGAGGGAAGGUAUUAAGACUAGGAAGUGAACAACUAACAAGUCUCAGAAGUCCCUGAAACUUACAAAGCCGCUUCUUCCCCAAGGACAUGUGAACAGGAAGAGAGCCCAUGCUCUGACCAUGCUCAUGCCAGAGCUCCAGGAUUCCAGCUUUUGUGAGCCAUCACCCAUGCUGGUGUUUUUGGUGAUACAGCUGCCUUUGAGUUAUCUCUGAUCCUACUCUACCAGGGGCUGCCUAGACAAGCUAUACCCACGGUUGACUUCAGUUGCUCACCGAGUUCCGUGUGACCAGGCUACACAUGGGAAGCCAGCUUUUCUGAAGGGGACUCUGAAGUUCCCACGGAGAGACUGCAAGAGGAGAUUCGAAGAAGUGCACAGUGCUUAGGAUGUUUUGACAUGCCUAGACAUCUUACGAUGAAAUUCGUUUGAAUUGACUUCCAUCUCUGACCCACCCAGUGUCUUACCAAGAAAUCUAAGGAAAUGGUCACAGAAUGGAAUUGGGGACCUAUAAGCUCGCAGUGAGAUGGACUAGACCUACACUCUAUGGAUCUUCUUACCUCUAUCCUGGAAGUUUUCCAUAGAAAGAUCAAGCAAGAAGUUAGCAGACGUUCUAUCUGUUUCCCCGAAGGAACACCAUGAUCAAUCAGCCAGCACUACAGGUCUGUACUGGCCAGACUGCUGAGACUGGCUGAGCCUCUGCUCUCCAUUAUAGUAACUUCAGCCACUGGGCCUGUCCCUUCUGAGAGCCCCCACAUGGUCCAUGCCACCCUGGAAUCCAAUGACUGUCACUGAUUUGAGUUUUCCAAUAGAUUAGCUUUGGUUCCCACUGUACAGUACAGUCUUCAGGGAUGAGCAAUCAUAGGACAGUGGAAGGGUACCCAAGUCUGUUUCUCAUAGUCAUUGUGAAAGUCAGCCUUCCGGACCUUUCCAUUGUGGGCAAACAAGCUUAACAAGUUAAAUCCAAUCUAGAAUAUUCAAUUUCCUGUGUCUUUCAUUCACCCCUCUACAUUAAAACCAUUGAAAGUCUCCUAUUUCUGAUUCUUUCUCUGUGGCCACCACAUACAGACAUACACACACACACACACACACACACACACACACACACACACACAGAGUCUAACUAACCAACUAACUAAUUAACUAAUACCUAACUAGUCUUUGUUGUGUUUUGUUUUGUUUUGUUUUGUUCAAGACAGGGUUCACCAUACUGUUCUGUCUGUCCUGGCACGUGGUUUGUAGACCAGGAUAGCAUUAAUUUCAGAUAUCUCCUUUCUCUGUCUCCUAAGUGCUGGGAAUAAAGGAGUGCACCGCCAUGCCUCAGUUUCAUCCUUGUGAUUCCUGAAGCUGUAUCAUUAGAUACACAGGUCUGUGUUCAGUGCUCUGAUACUGAUACAUCUGUUCUGAUCCAACUUUAUGUUUGACCCUGUCCUACCUCUCAGUCUCAUUUGAUAUCUAUUACCACAUGAGUUCAAAUUAUUUCCUUUUCACUACAUUUCUGUCUUUUUAAAAUGGAGAACUCAAACAGUUCUUCUCAAGUAUAGUGCAUAUCCUUGUGGGUCACAUACUGUUCUGUACCAGGACCCAUGUAUACCUAUGAGUCUAGAAACAAUUGUGCUGGUGAGUUUUCAUUGUCAGCUUGACAUAAACCUAGAGUCACUAGGGAAAAGGGAACCUCAAUUAAAGAACUGCCUCAAUCAGAUUGACUUAUGGCCAUAUCUGUGAGAGAUUGCCUUGACUGAUAAUGGAUGUGGGAGGGCCUAGUCCACGGUGGGUGUCAGCAUCUCUGGACUGGUGGGCUUGAGCUGCCUAAGGAAGUUAGCUGGGCAUGAGCCAGAGAUCAGGCCAGUAAACAUCCCUCCAUGGUUCCUGACUCCUGGUUUCUGUCUUGAGCUCUUGUCCUGACUUCCCUCAGUGAUAGGCUAUUACCCAAAGGUAAGACAAAUAAAUCCUUUCUUCCCCUAGUGGCUUUUGUCCAUGAUGUUUAUCACAGCAAGGGAAGAACAAGGUAGGACCCACAGGGAGGGGUGGUGCUGGAAGGAACCAGUAUUGUCCUGCCUGGUAGCUACUUCCGGAAAGGUCAUAGCAAUUCCCUUGGGCAUUACAGACUUCCCCCAGGUAAACAUGGAGGCCCCAUCUAUGGGGUAGGAAUCAAUUAUUUGAUUUUAAAAUUUUAUUUUAUUUUUAAUUGUGUGUGUAUGUAUGCUGCAUAUGUGGGAGAGGAGUACCCACAAAGUCCAGAGAUAUCAGAUCCUCUGGAGAUAGUGUUGUAGGUAGUUGUGAAUCACCUGACAAGGGUGCCAGCGGUUGAACUCAGGUCCUCUGGAAGAGCACUAUGUGCUCUUCACCACCAAGCCAUCUCUCCUGCCUAUGGGAACCACACUUGCUAUCAAGAGAGGUUCAUCAGAACACAGGGUCUUGGUGUCCUCAGCUUCAUGACGGCCUUCCCACAUGACCCAUCCCAGCUUUCAGGAUCUAUUCUUUCCCAGUCAGUGUCCUCAUUUAAACAAUAGAUUUACCUUGCCUUGUGAUCCAGUGAGUCUAGAAUAAGGUUCUGUGGUGGUAUAUUAUUUAUGAUUUAUUAAAACUUGCCUGAGGAUUCAGAAAAGCAGA